AUUGAACGCUGGCGGCAGGCUUAACACAUGCAAGUCGAGCGGAGAUGAGGUGCUUGCACCUUAUCUUAGCGGCGGACGGGUGAGUAAUGCUUAGGAAUCUGCCUAUUAGUGGGGGACAACAUUCCGAAAGGAAUGCUAAUACCGCAUACGCCCUACGGGGGAAAGCAGGGGAUCUUCGGACCUUGCGCUAAUAGAUGAGCCUAAGUCGGAUUAGCUAGUUGGUGGGGUAAAGGCCUACCAAGGCGACGAUCUGUAGCGGGUCUGAGAGGAUGGUCGGCCACACUGGGACUGAGACACGGCCCAGACUCCUACGGGAGGCAGCAGUGGGGAAUAUUGGCCAAUGGGCGGAAGCCUGAUCCAGCCAUGCCGCGUGUGUGAAGAAGGCCUUUUGGUUGUAAAGCACUUUAAGCGAGGAGGAGGCUACCUGGAUUAAUACUCUAGGAUAGUGGACGUUACUCGCAGAAUAAGCACCGGCUAACUCUGUGCCAGCCGCCGCCGUAAGAC
rnacentral:rRNA from 1 species